GAUGAACGCUGGCGGCGUGCCUAAUACAUGCAAGUCGAGCGAACGGACGAGAAGCUUGCUUCUCUGAUGUUAGCGGCGGACGGGUGAGUAACACGUGGAUAACCUACCUAUAAGACUGGGAUAACUUCGGGAAACCGGAGCUAAUACCGGAUAAUAUUUUGAACCGCAUGGUUCAAAAGUGAAAGACGGUCCUGCUGUCACUUAUAGAUGGAUCCGCGCUGCAUUAGCUAGUUGGUAAGGUAACGGCUUACCAAGGCAACGAUGCAUAGCCGACCUGAGAGGGUGAUCGGCCACACUGGAACUGAGACACGGUCCAGACUCCUACGGGAGGCAGCAGUAGGGAAUCUUCCGCAAUGGGCGAAAGCCUGACGGAGCAACGCCGCGUGAGUGAUGAAGGUCUUCGUAUCGUAAAACUCUGUUAUUAGGGAAGAACAUAUGUGUAAGUAACUGUGCACAUCUUGACGGUACCUAAUCAGAAAGCCACGGCUAACUACGUG
rnacentral:rRNA from 1 species